UCCCUGGAGGACUAGUGGUUAGGCCUCGGUGCUCUCACCGCAGCGGCCCGGGUUCAGUUCCCAGCUAGGGAA